rnacentral:rRNA from 1 species
CUACGGGUGGCUGCAGUGGGGAAUCUUAUACAAUGGGCGCAAGCCUGAUCUAGCCAUGCCGCGUGAGUGAUGAAGGCCUUAGGGUCGUAAAGCUCUUUCGCUGGGGAAGAUAAUGACGGUACCCAGUAAAGAAACCCCGGCUAACUCCGUGCCAGCAGCCGCGGUAAUACGGAGGGGGUCAGCGUUGUUCGGAAUUACUGGGCGUAAAGCGCGCGUAGGCGGACUGUUAAGUCGGGGGUGAAAUCCCGGGGCUCAACCCCGGAACGGCCUUCGAUACUGGCAGUCUGGAGUUCGAGAGAGGUGAGUGGAAUUCCGAGUGUAGAGGUGAAAUUCGUAGAUAUUCGGAGGAACACCAGUGGCGAAGGCGGCUCACUGGCUCGAUACUGACGCUGAGGUGCGAAAGUGUGGGGAGCAAACAGGAUUAGAUACCCUUGUAGUC